CUUCUUCAGCAGGAUCGCCCGUAUUGCUAUGAGCUUCUCGUAGCAAGAGAGGCACUUGUGAUACCUGAUAACGAACGAAGAAACCAGGCUUCGACAAAAGAUCAUGGCUGAAGUCGAGAACGCGGUUUCAAGCGGAACGCUCGAGUUUCCAGGACUCACCGUUCCUCCCGCGACACGUCGACGCCGAUCGUGUGAAGAGGUGCUUCCACGUUGGAUUUUAUUACCGGGGCGAAAUUACGAAGGAUAAGUCUCAGCGCCGAGCAAGCUACCGUUAUGUACCUGAAACAAAAAUCCAGUUUCGCUAGGAUAAAUAACUUGCGAAUGAGGAACAGGAUGAGAACGCGACACCCAUCGGGUUUCGUCCGGUCACGCCCCGGCCCGUUGUAAAACGGCCGUUAUUAGGCCGUAACGACGCCAAUAAAUAACGAAAGGACACGAAAGGCUUGCCUGCGCGAUUCACCAUGCCUGUUUUCGGACGGGCGAUAAAGGGUUCUCGUGCCCUUGUUCCCGUUGCAAUCGGCGCGACGAAUCGCGCGCGGUCUCAUGAAUGCACCGCGCGAUCGGGAUUUCACGUGGCUCGUGACAAACUGGGAAACACGAUCGAGAGAAAACCAAAACGAAAUCAUGAACAUUUGCAAGAAUGAAAAUAGACGGUGGAGGAAUAAAAAGCGAGAGAAGGGGUUGCGAAGAGCGAUCGCGAAAUUGGAAAACGAUCGGGCGGGUUGAACCCUCCCUCAUGACACGCGUCUGGACAUUCACCGGCGAUCUCUCUUUUUUUUCUCACGCGGCGACGGGUGCAAGACGAAAGCCCGUGACGGAUCAGCCGUGAAAAAACGAUAAUUAGGAGGAUUAUGAAGAAGCGUCUGAAGACUGCACAAAUUACAGAAAACAACGACAGGCCCCAACAAAAAGUUGCUUGACGGGAUCCUCAUUACGAGUGACUGCGGGCGACAGCUGCUUAGCGGCGGAUAACUAAUUUGUAUUCAUUUUUACGGUAUUUAAGCAUACACAAAGCGGCAAAGUGCGACUGCUACUAAUCGAUAUAUCACGAUGUAAUGUAUGAAAAAUAAUCUAAGGAGUUGAGAACUGACUCUAAACGAUUCUAAUGAUCUUAGUGAUUAAAGAUGAAUAGGCAAAAACCCGAAAUUCAGUAAGUGAGACACUAUCGACGAAUUUUCAGUCGAGGAAAGGCAAGUUUAACAAGUUGGUUAAAGAUAAAUUAACAUGUGGUUAACUACAACUUCUUGCUUUAAACAAUAGAUCAGAAUUUCCGUCGCUAAUUCGUCUUUUUUUAUUCAAACAUUAUGUACCGAUUUUUAUUAUUUUUAAUACAACUUCCCAAUGAUGGAAAGUAAGUGCUAAUCAGAAGGAGCGACGGUAAUUCACGUGAGGUAACACGUGGACGCGAAAUGGCAGCCGAGGGUGAGUAAUGGCAGUCCUCCGACGAGACGGAGGAAGGAAACAGUCGUUACUCGUCACGGCGUUCAAGCAACAGCUUGGAACUGAGGCCAGUCGGUUAAUCACCCACUUUCAAACGGAUAUAAAAGACAAGUUCCCUUCCCCUCGGAUUUAUAGCUAUACACCGAGGAAACGGUGCACAUCUGACGAGGAACCGUUCAAAUUUGCACGGUGUGCGAAAUACGUAUGUCAAUGGAACAUGAACCUUUAGAUUUUUAGUUCUACAUUUCUCAUGCAAUCUUCCAAUCGUUUAAAUGUAGAAUUUACAGGUACUUUUCUAAACAUUCGGCGCUUUAUACAGCUGUCAAGUUUUAAUCCUUCAUAAUGUUGACAUUUCCAGACAUUAAAAUCUCGAAAUUCUCUUUUUCCCCCCUCCUCUUUUGAAGAUUUAACGCAUCGUCGCGUCAUCGUACAUGUCAUUCUCGACAGAUUUACAUUCGCCAGCAUUGACGGUCGUUUGACAGUGAAGAUGAUACUCGGCCGCCCAUUUGUCCAUCCUACACCAUAGACGUUGGCAUAUGCAAACGCGCGGCACUUGAGAUUUCAAUUGAAAUCGCGCGAACAAUACUACUCGUCCGCGGACAGAAAGUUGUCCUCGCUUCUUGUUGCACAUUUGCAUCUGCCGCUAUCUCCCAUUGUCUCGGCUAAUUUCGCGGACCACCCCACGCUCGCCUCGGAUUUCCCUCCCCUAGUAAAUUAGCCAUUCCCAUACUGCAACCCUAGAUCCCACGUGCCUCGGGCGAACGAAUGUUUCGAAAACGUGGCACCCUUUCAAGAGAAGAGUUCCUCCAUUUUCCGAUACAAUACCGUGUCGACGGUAACGAGUAGUGACUAUUGAGAAUAGCGAUUAUUUCGAAGAGGGAUGCGUUUUUUAGUAUAUAAAAUGAUGAACUAGAGCGCAAGUGAUUGCAAAGAGCGAUUAUGAUUCAAUACUCACAUUUCGUAUUUACUUUGAAGGAGAUCGCUGACAGGGCCAAGCAACGAAUUGCACAUAUCCAAGUUCCACAUUGUUCUGCGGGCAAAGAUACAAUAUUAGAUAAAUAGCAAUUGUUUUUUGACGAGAUUGGGAAAGAUACGUACGGUUUUAACGUGAGGAUACCCAGAAGAUCCACGAUGACGGCCAGAUCGUUCAUCGCCACCGCAGAAUCCACCGCGGCCUGAAAUCAAUAACCCGUUUUGCCCUGUCACCGACUGUAUCGACCGCACAUAUCAUAUUGCUCCAAGUGGAGAACUGAUACAAAUGAUUACCUUGAGAUCUUUGUUGUGCCAGAGGGAGUAUAUGAUCUGUAACGAGCGAUGCCGGCUUUUAACCACCGCCAUCAUCGACUCGUGGCUGCGCAUCAUACUGUUCAAUACCUCGGCCUCCGACAUUUCCGUCAGCACGCCCAUCUGCGGGUAUCCCAACGCCGUGGAACCGGUGUAACUGUGCUGUGAAAGACAGACGUUGUCUAUCUGAGAAUUCAGAUUAUAAUUCGAUUGUAUCAAGUCGAGGAACUCACCGGUAAAAAAUUUUCAACGUCUAGUCCGUAGGGCUUGUCGGCGCUCAUCGGCACGAGCUCUUCUUUCUCCGUGUCCUCCACGCUGUUUCUUAUUUGCGAGACGCGCACAUC